ensembl:lncRNA
UGAUCUCAUCAGGUAAAGGUGUGUUAAAUGGAAGGGCAAGUCUCACCACUGAGAGGAAAACAUCACUGGUCCACCUCUGCAUCAGGUCAGCUAUGUUGAUCAGUACUGUCCCAGGGAUGCUGGGAGCAGAGAUGAACUCCCCUGACCUGGUACCAUCUAUGGAGUUGUCAUUUUAAUAUCAGUUUAACCCCAUUACUGCUAUAACACAUAAACCAUGUUAAUAGAAUGAAAUGGAUCCAGGUUCCAUUUAUUCUACAUUAGAUUUACUGCCUGUGGAACACUUCUCCAAAGUGGUCUGAAAUCAAGAUGACUGCAGGUCUGAAUCCCAAACUAAUGGGGGGAAAUGUAUCCAUCUAAUAAGAUGGUAUUUAGAGAUAUGGAGAAAAACAUCACAAACUCUACUAUUGGGGUGAACAAAUUCCAUUAACAUACAUACGGGGCAGUCAGAAACAUUUUGUUACGUUACAGCCUCAUUCUACAGUGGAUUAAAUAAAUCAUGUUCCUAUUCAAUCCACACACCAUACCCCAUAAUGACAUCACAAUACCCCAUAAUGACCUCACAAUACUCCAUAAUGACAUCACAAUACCCCAUAAUGACAUCACAAUACCCCAUAAUGACCUCACAAUACUCCAUAAUGACAUCACAAUACUCCAUAAUGACAUCACAAUACUCCAUAAUGACAUCACAAUACUCCAUAAUGACGUCACAAUAUCUCAUAAUGACAAAGCGAAAACAUGUUUAUUUUUAUUUUUUUUUGCAAAUGAUUAACCGAAAUACCUUAUAUAAGUAUUCAGAACCUUUGCUAUGAGACGUGAGAUUGAGCUCCGGUGCAUCCUGUUUCCAUUGAUCAUCCUUUUAGAUGUUUCUACAACAGGAUUGGAGUCCACCUGUGGUAAAUUCAAUUGAUAGGACAUGAUUUGGAAAAGCACACACCUGUCUGUAUAAGGUCCCACAGUUGACAGGUCAUGUCAGAGAAAAAUACCUCCCUGACCAAGGCCCUUCUCCCCCCAUUGCUCAGUUUGGCCAGACGCCCAGCUCUAGGAAGAGUCUUGGUGGUUACAAACCUCUUCCAUUUAAGAAUUAUGGCCAUUGUGGUCUUGGGGACAUUCCAUACCGAAAACAUUUAAUGGUACCCUUCCGCAGAUUGGUGCCUUGACACAAUCCUGUCUCGGAGCUCUACAGACAAUUCCUUCGACCUCAUGGCUUGGUGAUGAAACAAAGAUUGAACUCUUUGGCCUGAAUGCCAAGAGUCACAUCUGGUGGAAACCUGGCACCAUCCCUACGGUGAAGCAUGGUGGUGCAGCAUCAUGCUGUGGGGACGUUUUUUAGUGGCAGGGACUGGGAGACUAGUCAGGAUUGAGGGAAUGAUGAACAGAGCAAAGUACAGAGAGAUCCUUGAUGAAAACCUGCUCCAGAGCACUCAGGAACUCUGACUGGGGUGAAGGUUCACCUUCCAACAGGACAAUGACCCUAAGCACACAGCCAAGACAAUGCAGGAGUGGCUUCGGUACAAGUCUCUGAAUAUCCUUGAGAGGCCCAGCCAGAGCCCGGACUUGAACACGAUCUGACGAUCCACUGAAUCCUCAGAAUUGAGUCAUGUUGGGGAUGGAUGAUCUUUGACAUCGUUCAGUAAUUGAGUCAUGUAGGGGAUUGAUGAUCUUUGACAUCGUUCAGUAAUUGAGUCAUGUAGGGGAUUGAUGAUCUUUGACAUCUUUCAGUAAUUGAGUCAUGUAGGGGAUGGAUGAUCUUUGACAUCUUUCAGUAAUUGAGUCAUGUAGGGGAUGGAUGAUCUUUGACAUCUUUCAGUAAUUGAGUCAUGUUGGGGAUGGAUGAUCUUUGACAUCUUUCAGUAAUUGAGUCAUGUAGGGGAUGGAUGAUCUUUGACAUCGUUCAGUUCUUUCUCUGACGGGUCUGAGUUUGUGUGAGUGGCGUGUUUUUCUUUCAGAGUUUGUGAUGAUUGGUUGUGGUAGAAGGUUCCUGUUGUCAGACUGGAGGAACUGAUGGUCAACUGGAGGCUGUUGGGUUCUUCUCUCAAUCAGGGGUCAGAGGUUGAGGGUUCAGUGUGCUGAUGUGUAGUUGUUGUAUCAUGGUUUUUGGUUAACAUGUCCUGUUGCUGGGUAAAGUUCAUGAUGACGUUGAACACAUCUUUAUCAAGGGUGCCAAUACUUCUGGACCUAACUGCACACUGUAGUGGUGGGGCAGCAUGCAUCACAUGUCUCCAUGACCCUGUGGGCUGAACCCUCAAUGCUGCAGAGGCCCUAUGCUCCUCUAGGAGGUUGUUGAGGCCCUAUGCUCCUCUAGGAGGUUGUUGAGGCCCUAUGCUCCUCUAGGAGGUUGUUGAGGCCCUAUGCUCCUUUAGGAGGUUGUUGAGGCCCUAUGCUCCUCUAGGAGGCUGUUGAGGCCCUAUGCUCCUCUAGGAGGCUGUUGAGGCCCUAUGCUCCUCUAGGAGGUUGUUGAGGUCCUAUGCUCCUCUAGGAGGUUGUUGAGGCCCUAUGCUCCUCUAGGAGGUUGUUGAGGUCCUCUGCUCCUCUAGGAACUAAAAGAGAAGUAAGUCAUAUGUCACCACCACCCAAUAUGACUUCAUACAUCUCCAGCUUAUUGAAAUUACAGCCUGAAAACUCAGUGUCUUUUUUCCCUUCAUGUUCCUGUACUCACUCAGGUUGUACCAUUGAUAUAAAAAGCAUUUGACACAACUGUUGUGUUAAAUGGGUUGUACAACCCGAGAGGGUAUGUGGACAAUAUGUGUUUGUUUUCAGGUUGAAGUUGUCCCCCAUCCAGCCCUCCUCUAGAGGAGUGAGGAGAAUGAUAUCAACUCAUGUGUUUCCAGGUUACUUCAGUAUGAUCCUAUGAACCAAUCUGAAGUCAGAUGGGGCUUCUACAUGAAACAGGACAUUUCAUUGAUAGGACCGUGGGAAAGGUGGGUCUCCAUCAACCAUGUUAGAAACUGAUUGACAUCAUCAACCAUAUUAACAAGUGUGUGAACAUAUUCAUAUUCAGUAUGGAAAAGUACCUGAGGAAAUAAAACACAUUUUAUGAAACCCAUGAGAGAUAUAUUUAUAAUGUAUAUUUAUCCUUCAAAGAGCGACUACUUUGUGAGGUUCAGCCUUUCGUUGGUGAAUGUUCUCAGAAAGGGGGACAUUGGGGAAUCUGAAUAGAUAAGACCUGACAAAAUACUACCUCUAUGUCCUGUGUUCUACAUCCUGGGUAUUACUGUCAUCACCACAGCAGAUAACUGUGUUCUACAUCCUGGGUAUUACUGUCAUCACCUCAGCAGAUAGAUAACUGUGUUCUACAUCCUGGGUAUUACUGUCAUCACCACAGCAGCUAAAUAACUGUGUUCUACAUCCUGGGUAUUACUGUCAUCACCACAGCAGCUAGAUAACUGUGUUUUACAUCCUGUAUUAAUGUCAUCACCACAGCAGCUAGAUAACUGUGUUCUACAUCCUGGGUAUUACUGUCAUCACCACAGCAGCUAAAUAACUGUGUUCUACAUCCUGGGUAUUACUGUCAUCACCACAGCAGAUAGAUAACUGUGUUCUACAUCCUGGGUAUUACUGUCAUCACCACAGCAGCUAGAUAACUGUGUUUUACAUCCUGGGUAUUAAUGUCAUCACCACAGCAGCUAGAUAACUGUGUUCUACAUCCUGGGUAUUACUGUCAUCACCACAGCAGCUAAAUAACUGUGUUCUACAUCCUGGGUAUUACUGUCAUCACCACAGCAGAUAGAUAACUGUGUUCUACAUCCUGGGUAUUACUGUCAUCACCACAGCAGCUAGAUAACUGUGUUUUACAUCCUGGGUAUUAAUGUCAUCACCACAGCAGCUAGAUAACUGUGUUCUACAUCCUGGGUAUUACUGUCAUCACCACAGCAGAUAGAUAACUGUUGAUGUAAGACUCCAAGCCAAACAUACUGCAAACCAACCAUUUUGAAUUGCAGGUUUAUUCACAGGGUCCCAGUCAUCAUGUGACUCUCUAAUGGAUUCCAAUGAAAACCUUGUAGACUGAUAUAGGACACUUUUAUCCAAAGGUGAAUGUCUUUAAACUGCAUUGUUCUCAUGAUGUGUGUGUAGCAGUGUGAUGUUGUUCCACUAGAUUACACACCAAGUUGCACACAAGGACCAGUUCAAAUAGGUCAAGAGGGGAUGUUAAUUAGUUUGAUAAUAAUAAUAAUUCAGUGUGUUUUUUUAUUUAAUUACAGCUGCAUAGAUAAUGUUAUUUUUUGGUGUACAAACACUUUUUCAUAUCUAUAUAAUAAAUACACUUGAUUGUAAAAGUGUUGUAUAUUUUGGUUUGGUCCAUCGCGGGUUUCUGUAUUUCUGUUCGCCCUUAUUGUUCUCUCUUGCCUGACCUUUGUUGGAUUCUGUAUUUUACAUUAUAGCCAUUAGCAUAUAUAGGAUUAAAUAUGAUCUGAUGUUGGUUGUGUGAGGUGUCUGCAUUUGUGCACUGGAGCAUCAUUAUGAGAUUAAACAACUGCUUGCUACUUGCCUGUUUGUGUGUGACAAGAACUGAGUAACAUGGUGUGACCUGCAUGUUGCAAAACUGUAGAUAACAGCCCAGCAGAUGCUUUGUCCUUGUGUUUGUAUGUAACAAUAUUGAGCACAUGGUGUGACUUGCUGUAACUUACAAAGUUGUGAUAGGGAGGGGUGGUCAUCACGAGGUUUAACUGAGAUGGAAAAAUACUGAACAACACAAUAGCAGGAACUGAGCAACUGUUCUAACUAGGCUGCGAUACCAGAACAGUAAGGAUCUAUACAUCGACGGAGGGAGGAAGAAGCGCCAAGAGGCGGGGACCAGCCUGAGCGCCUGCGAUAGGCUGGGCAAGUUUAAACCACGCCCAGUCUCUACUGUGAUAGGCCAACAGACGGGUUGGAACUAUGUCUAUCAUAAUGUGUAUAAGAACACUGUCUACGUACAUCCUGUCAGUUCUCUGUUCUGCCCUGCGUGGUAUUACAGUGAGCCCGUAUAUACGAAAGUUGCAUUUGCCAUUUAUUACUUAGCUAAUAAAAAAUACAUAGUAUAAAA